UACAGAGGUCUCGAGCGUUGUUCGGAUUCAUUGGGCGUAAAGGGCGCGUAGGCGGCGGGGCAAGUCGGGUGUGAAAUCUCAGAGCUCAACUCUGAAACUGCACUCGAUACUGCUUUGCUUGAGGACUGGAGAGGAGAUUGGAAUUCACGGUGUAACAGUGAAAUGCGUAGAUAUCGUGAGGAAGACCAGUGGCGAAGGCGGAUCUCUGGACAGUUCCUGACGCUGAGGCGCGAAGGCCAGGGGAGCAAACGGG
rnacentral:rRNA from 1 species